rnacentral:lncRNA from 10 species
GCGAGUGCCUGUAAUCCCAGCUACUAGGGAAGCUGAGGCAGGAGACUCACUUGAACCGGGAGGCGGAGGUUGCAGUGAGCCAAGAUAACGCCAUUGCACUCCGGCCGGGGCAACAAGAGCAAAACUCCAUUUCAAAAAAAAUAAUAAAAAUAAAAAUAAAAUUACUACAAUGUCCUUUGUAGUAAUCAGCCAUUUGUAGUCAUCUUUGCAGUCCUAACCUGUGCCUAGCACAAAGCAACCACUUGAUGCAAGAAUUUACAUCUAAUUACAUCUUUCGUUCUAAUUAAACUUUGUUAUAAUUAAUCUUAAGUUAUGGCCACGUGUAGAAUUAAACAAAUGAUGAACAGUAGCUAACUUUCUGUACCAAGCAUGAAACCAGGAAUUUUAAGUGCUAUACAGAGUUUGUGACAAUAGGAUAUCUGUGGUACCUUAAUUUCAUGUGUCAACUUGACUGGGCCAUGGGGUCUCCAGGUAUUCGGUCAAACAUUAUUGUGGGUGUUUCUUGGGAGUGUUGUUGAGUGAGACUGGCAUUUAAACAGGCAGACCAAAUAAAACAGAUUGGCCUUUCCAGUGUGCGCAGGCCUCAUCCAAUCAUUUGAAGGCCUGAAUAAAACAAAAAGACUACUGUCCCCUAAGUAAGAGAGAAUUCUUGCUGCCUGGCUACCUUCAAACUGGGACAUCAGCUCCUCCUCAGUCUUGAGCCUGCCAACUGGGUCUCUAGCCAAGCUUGCUGACUCACCUCCAGAUCUUUGAACUUGCCCACUUUCAUAAUCAUGGGAGCCAAUUCCUCACAUGUAAUUCCACUCACUCAUCCUUCUGCACUUCCUACAUAACCAAACCAUAUUCCAUACAGGAAAUUUAUAUACAUCCUAUUGAUUUUGUUUCUCUGGAGAACCCUGACACCGAUAAUAGAGUAUUCCAGGAAAUAAAGCAAUCAGAGGUUACUUUGAUGAGAAUACAUGCCUUUAAUUUGCCUUAUAAGUCUUUUGUGAUCCAGAUAUAUGCCAUCUCCCUUGGUAAUUCGUCCAUCUGUGCUACAUGUGGAUGACUUAAUUCUUACAGGUCAUUUUUUCAUAUUCAAUCUCAGGACCUUUGAAGAAUCCUCUCAACUUAUGGAUACUAAUCCAUCAGCUGCAAAUAGCCACACAAAUGUUCACCACAUGCAUAUACAGGACUAUGAAGCUUUGUACGAUAUGGAGUUGUAUUAGGGUAAGUCAGAAAAUAGGGAAAAGGGCUAUGAGUGCUGAUAUUCAGAAAUAAAAAUGAAAAAAAACUAGGUUAAAGCCAAUUAAUACUUUCUCAUCAGACCCUGUCAUGUUUCAUAGUGUUGUACACAAGUAAAGUUUUGGAAAAAAACAGAAGAGCUGGGGACUUGGGUGGGGAGGGGAGGAAGUAAGAGUUUUGUAAGGAAUUCAGGGACAUCAAAGUACUAAAUGUAUAACAUUGAGCAGCGUCUGCAUCCUAGCUGUGCUACCUGUGUAGUUACACAGAGUCCUGCACGCAGGAGGAGCCUGAAUUGGCCUUAAAGCUCUGUCACUAUCUUGAGAUUCUUAAUAUUUUUUGCAAAAAUGGACCCCAAAUUUUCACACUGCACUGGGCCCCGCAAAUUAUGUAGUUGGUCUUGCCGCUAAGUAAAACUUUCUGAAGUAACCAUUUAAAAGUCAAAAGUAAAUGUUUAUUCAACUUUCUACCUAAUGAUUAGUUUGAUGUCCUGACAAUAGCAAACCAAACUGAGGCUCCAUACUCCCAUGCUCUCCCUGCACAUGGAAAGAACAGCUGGCAAGAAAUGGCUGAGCAGUAACCAUCAAGAGCUAUGGAUAAGUGGUUGUUGUACAGAACUUGAGAAGAGAGACAAGUUCCUAUCAUCAGUUCUUAUAAGAGCUUGGAUAGCUGCUUCUGAAAUCAAGGACUAGACCUCUUAUAUUAUAGUGACAUCUGCCCCUAGAUUGAAAAUCCCCAAUCUAGGAACUGAGGAAGGUAAUUUGGCACUAUUGUCAAAACUUUUCUUUAUCAUCCUUCACCUUUGACUCUGUCUAGUAUAAGAAAAAGGAAAUGCCAACCAUUUGGGAGUUUAUUACUUGCUAUACAAAAGUAAUCACCAUUACUUCCAUUCCAGGGAUUAAGGUAGACCAAAUAUCCUAUUUCCAUGUUUUGCACGUGCACACACACACACACACACACACAAUCAUGUAAACACAAACAUAUAUCAAUGGACAAAGUGCUAUUUAUAGAGAUACUGUAUUUAAAAUAAUCUGGAUAGAUAGUAAAAAUGAAGGAAUUUGGAAAUGAUUAGUAUCUUUCAUAAACUUUCAUCUGGUAGGACAGAGGAAGGCACUAUACUCAAUUUGAUAAAUGGAAGACAUAAACUGCUAAAAUGACAAUACUUUUAAUUGACUCCUGAAAUAAAAUACUGCACCAACAUUAUUGCUGACUCAUAACUGCCCUCAAUGACUUGAACUCCUCUCCUGCAGCAAAGUCUUUUAGCUCCACUCCUAUACAUUUCACCCCAUAUACUCACUCUCUUUCUUGCAUACUAAGUUCCAGACAAUAGGAUUGUAUUAGUCAGCAUUGUCCAGAGAAACAGAACCAAUAGAUAGAGAGGUUAUCAAUGAUAGAUAGAUAGAUAGAUAGAUAGAUAGAUAGAUAGAUAGAUAUCAAUAUACAAUAAGGAAUUGACUCAUGAGAUUAUGAAGGCUGACAGGUACCAAAAUCUGCAGCCAGCAAGCAGGAGGCCCAGAAGAGCCAUGGUGUAGUUCCAAUCCAAAGGCUGGCAGGCUCAAGAUCCAGGAAGAGACCAAUAUUUUAGUUUGAGACUGAAGGCAAAAAAGAGCCCAUGUCUCAGGGUCAAGGCAGUCAGGCAGGAGGAGUUCUCUCUUACUUGUAGGAGGGUCAACCUUUUGUUCUCUUCAGGUCUUUAGUAGAUUGGAUGAGGCCCACCCACAUUAGGAUGGAAAAUAUGCUUUUUUCAGUCUGCCGAUUCAAUCGUUAUCCGCAUCCAAAAAUACUCUCACAGACAUAUGCAGAAUACUGGUUGACCAAAUAUCUGGGCAUCCUGUGGCCCAGUCAACUUGAUACAUAAAAUUAACCAUUUCAAGCAUGUAACUGAAAGCAUCUUGUGCCAGCUUCCAGGACAGCCAGCCACCCCACUGCCUCAGCCACUUCUUUGUUCCUUCCUUCUCUGGUUGCCUGGAAUAUAUAUACCGCCAUCUUGGACCAUGAGAUUGAGAAACAUUGCUCAAUAAUGGCAAAGAAGUUUGAAGCCUUGGAGAUUUGAUGGAGAAGAGCCUCUAUUUCAGCCCAGGACUACACAUCCCAGUCUUUUGCAUGAGAGAAAAGGAAACUUCCACCUUGUUUAAGGCACCGUUAUUUGGCAGGUUUCUGUCCUUCACAAGCAAUUCUAAUCCUAAUUCAUGUACCUCCCUUUCACUCCCACUGCACACAACAGGGUAGAAUUACAGACUGGACAACAAAUUAGAUAAAAUACCUAUGACCAGAAAGGGAGAAAAUUGUGAAAAUCCCAUCCACUCUACAGGGAGGGUAAUUUGUAUCCUUGCAGUAAUAUUUGCACAGCCUUUCACAACAUUACUUCAUUUCUUUCCAAAAAUAACCUUGAGAAGCAGACAGAGCUAAUGUUUUUAUCCUCAUUUUUCUCUCUGAAUAAUCUAGGAUUGUCCCUGCUUAGAUGAUAAUUUAGUUUUAAUUGAUUCUUCAUAUUAAGCUUAGCAAAACCAGUAUCAAGUGAACAAUUUAAUAGCUUAUUAAAUACAAUGCUAUUACUUUGCAAACAUUUAUAGAGAGCUUUAAAACAUCUUUAUAAAUAUAAAUUUAGUCUUAAAGCAAGAUUGAGGUAAUAGUAAAAUUUUACUUUGGUAAUAGUAAAAUUUUACUUUAACAUAAUAGACACCAAAAUGACUUUUUAAAAUUUAAACUGCAUUUCAAUGGAAACCUAUGGUCACACUGAAACAGAAGAAUAUUGGGCUGUUUCUUUGUUGUGAUGGUUUUCAAAUAAAGCAAGGAAAAACACUAUCAUUGUUGUCACAAUGCAUGUUAGCAUUAAGUCCCAGGAGAAAUCCUAAAGCUGUGAGAACUAUUUAACUUUAUUUUAAUCCACUGUUUUUUUAACUUCUUUGACUAUGAAACAGUGUUUAGCUUGUUUUUUUGUUCAUUUGUUUGGAAAUACUUAACAUUUCAAAAAUUGGUGUUGAAAGAACAAGGUUUCAGGAAUGCUAUACCAUAUUCAAAUUCUAAUUCUAGUAUCUUUAGUGAGAAGGAAGUGCCCUUAGAAUUACCAUAUUUAUAAAAAUACGGGAUGCCCAGUUAAAAUUGAAUUUCAAAUGAACAACAACUCUUUAAGUACCUCCCAUGCAAUAUUUGGGAUAUACUUAUACUGAAAAAAAAAGUUUAUCUAAUUUCUGAAAUUCAAUUUUAACUGGAUGCCUGUCUUUUCCCUGGCAACCCUACUGUCUUAGUCCAUUUUGUCUUGCUAUAACAGAAUACAUGAGACUGGGUAAUUUACAAAGGAAAGAAGUGUAUCUAGUCCACGGUUCUGCAGGGUGAGAAGUUCAAAAGUAUGGCCAUGGCUUCUGGUGAGGGCAUUCUUCUGUGUCAUAACAUUGCAGGGCAGAGUAGGUCAAAGGGGAAGCAGACAAGUGAGAAGAGAGAGGAUCAAACAGGAACAGGAACUUUGCUUUAUAAUAACUCACACUUUAGGGAACUAAUCCAUUCCCACAAGAACUAAUGCAGUCUCAUGAAAGCAAGAACUCACUACCUGGAAAACUGCAUUAUUCAUAAGGCCAUGCUCCUGGCCCAAACACCUCCCACUAGACCCCACCUCUCAACACCACCAUAUUCGUGAUCAAAUUUCAACAUGAGUUUUGGUGGGGACAGACAAGCCGUAUCCAUAGGACCUACCUUUGAUCCAUUCCUAGGGAAGAACAGUUGCUGAUCCUUCUGAUUCAGAUUUUCAGACAUUUAAUGGGGCUUUACCACUAGGCAAGAUCCCAUGAUUAAAAUCACAGGCCUGGCCGGGUGAGGUGGCUCACGCCUGUAAUCCCAGCACUUUGGGAGGCUGAGGCGGGUGGAUCAUCUGAGGUCAGGAGUUCAAGACCAGCCUGGCCAACAUGGUGAAACCCUGUCUCUGCUAGAAAAAAAUACAAAAAAUUAGCUGGGCGUGAUGGUGCACGCCUGUAAUCCCAGCUACUAGAGAGGCUGAGGCAGGAGAAUUGCUUGAACCCAGGAGGCGGAGGUUGCAGUGAGCCAACACUGCGCCAUUGCAUUCAAGCCUGGGUGACAGAGCAAGACUCCAUCUCCACACACACACAAAAAAAAAAACCACCGACCUGGCCAUCCUGCUUUCUUUUCUGAAGCAUUUCCAUCUCUUUCGUUUGUCAGUGGUCUGUGCCCGACACUAUCCAUGUUCCCCUGCAGAUCCACUCUUCACCCAUUCACCCUGCUCUGCACCCUGAAAGACUGGCUGUAUGAUGGACCCCAGCAACCAAGCUCCCUUGUUCUGUCGUUUGUAGUUGGGCUUGGCCAGUGGCAGCCACCAGGAGAGGAUGGAAGGACAGAAGGAGAGAGAGAUUUUCUGCUAAGCCCUAGGUCAGCUGUGGCCCGGCUCCCUCACCAAAGUGCAAGUUUGUGAGGAAUGUCAGUGGUCCUUUGCUUGCCCUUGAAAGCCUAGAGAAGACUUCCCUGAAGCAGCCACCCCAAGGACCUCAUCAACCCUUCUUAUUUCCCUUAACUCUUCCUCUAACUUUAUAAUAAUCCCUUCAUUACUUUCUCUUUUUAUCAUGCCUUCUUAAGUGUGCUUCUCUUUCCUCCCAAGACCCUGAUAAUACAGUGUAAGACUGAGAUGCAGGGUAAAUGGAGAUUCCCUACUUGAACCUUAAUCCUGAAUCUCAAACUCACUCCUAGUUUUGACAAACAGUCCUACUUGGGGAGUUUUAGUACUUGAGUAAUAAUAGAGGUCACUCGUUUCCCAUUUCUAGAUAGGCUAGUUAAAGAUCAACAAAAGCCGUUCAGUAGGCUUAAUAUAAAUUAUUGUUGUUACCAGCAUUUGUGUUAUUUGGGGGUGGGGCUCAGCGUAUUUAAGUGAUGUCAACACUUAUCUCUCUCCACUUUAUAGAAAAGGAGAUCAUAUAACCAAAUCCAUAGUUGCCCGCAGAUCACAGUGACUCCAUGGUGAACCUUGUGUCUUGUUGUCUUUUGUUUUUUGUUUUUUGGGUUUAUUUGCCUGGGAUCUGAGAUCUGACCAGCACGUUCAUAUUGUUAGUUUCCAGAACUCAUAAAUCCCUAAGAUUUGUUUGGCAAACUAGAUGUUGUCAGAAUACUUAGGGUGAGAUACAAUAACAAUUUAAAUGAUAAACAAAAACAAACAGAAAAGAAUUCAUCCUAACUUACCCAGGACCAAUUUCUUGCUGUUUUUUUCCCCAGCUAUUUUUAAAUAAUCAAAUCACUGUAGUAGCUAUGGCAUUUUAGAGAUUGCAAGGUCUGUGAGUCAUAUCCUUAUUUACAGGAAUGAUGGGAGAAAGUCAGCUUGUUCAGCAUUUACUCCAUUUAUGAGAAAUGUACAGGCAAAUAAGAAGCUGGGGAAACGCUGUUUCGUGUAUCAUUUCACCGUGUCCUACAAUCUCUUUCUCUUUCCCUUUUCAGGACUCAGACCUGGGAGAACAGCCACUGCCCAGACACGUUCAGCGACAGAUAAAACAGUAUAACAUUUUGCAAAGGCAAAUUCCUCCUCUUCUGCUGUAGAAAAACUUGGUUUCUUCUUCAUACACACUGAGUCCUUCUGCUCAUAAUGCUGGUCCUAAACACCUUAAUCCAAAAGCAGCCAAUAAAAAGUUUUUAAAAGUCCAACUCCUUAGGGAAAAACUUUGUUUUCCAGUUUGUGUGACUCAGGUCAUCAGCUCACGGUCAUUGUCAGAGCCCCAGUCAUCUACGUGUGUCAGCACCGCCCCUUUUAUCUCUCUGUCUUCAGUACUGCCUGAGAAGUACACACAAAGGACUGAACAGAGACAUUUUCAAAGUUUCAGAGAAAAAUGAAAGGAUAUGAUUUUAACACUGGAACCGAAUACUCUCUUAAGCAUAAAUUUUUCUUCUAGGGAGCAUUUGUUUGUAAUUAUGAGAAAUUAAGGAAUAUAUUCCCAGUGAAUUAAAACAUAGGAAAUUAAAACUGGAAGGGUAUUCAGGGAAUCUAGAAGUUCAUGCUAUCAGCUUUGUGAGUGAUUUCAUCUCUCACUUUGUGCAUUUCCCUUUCUAUGUUCAUGUUUGAUGUGAGCUGCAUUCCCAGCUCAGAUUAUUCUCAUUCUUUAAAAAUAAGAGGGGCUGGGCACAGUGGCUCACACCUGUAAUCCCAGCACUUUGGGAGGCCGAGGCAGGCGGAUCACCUGAGGUCGGGAGUUCGAGACCAGCCUGACCAACAUGGAGAAACCCCGUCUCUACUAAAAAUACAAAAAACUAACUGGGCAUGGUGGUAUAUGUCUGUAAUCCCAGCUACUCAGGAGGCUGAGACAGGAGAAUUGCUUGAACCCGGGAGGGGGAGGUUGCAGUGAGCUGAGAACGCACCAGUGCAAUCCAGCCUGGGCAAUAGAGAGAGACUCCAUCUCCAUCUCAAAUUAAAAAUAAUAAUAAUAAUAAAAUAAUAAUAAUAGACCAGGUGUGGUGGCUCACGCCUGUAAUUCCAGCACUUUCGAAGGAUAAGGCAGGAGGAUUGCUUGAGCCCAGGAGUUCAAGACCAGCCUGGGCCAACAAGAGAGACCCUCAUCUCUACAAAAUAUUUUUUAAAAUAACUGGGCCUCAUGGUGCAUUCCUGUAAUCUGAGCUAGUUGGGAGGAUAGCUAGAGCCCAGGAGAUCGAGGCUGCAGAGAACCGUGAUCACACGACUGCACUCCAGCCUGGGUGACAGAGCAAGACCCUGUCUCAAUAGAUAGAUAGAUAGAUAGAUAGAUAGAUAGAUAGAUAGAUAGAUAGAUAAAAACAGAGAGGUGAAAAAUAUGGUUUUAAGGGUUCUGUUUAAGAAUACUCUGUUCCAACAUGGAGUUUGUCAACUCUAAAGUGGUAAAAAACAAGACAGAUUGUAGACAUUUUCAUAAAAGGCAGGAUUAUUUGGUGUCACCAAAUUAAAUAUGUUAAUGGUCACAGCGGAGGCCGACUCAAUCAGCCUUUUAUUCUGCCAGGCUAUUUGAUACUGCUGAGGGCUUACCUAUUUCCUGAGGAGAAAAAUAGUCAUUAAAAUGACCUUAUAAAGACGACGCUUGCAGGGAUUGUUUCUAUAGCUCACUACCAGAUAAGUUUCUCCGAACAUGUAGAGCACCAGAAACCACAUGCAGCGGUGCAGCGCUCUCUCGGGAGCCUGACACUGGCUCUGGGUGCUGCUUCACUGCAACUUCCAUUUGCCAUUGAGAACUGUUCCGCUCUUCCUCUGUGGGCUUCUCCGUGGCAGCUGGCUCACCCCAGGGCAAGUGAUCCAAGAGACAGCAGGUGGGAAGGAAGCUCCAAUGUCUUUCAUGACCUAGACUUAGAAGUCAGAUGUUGUCACUGCUGCUUGACUCUAUUUGUUAAAAAUAUGUCUUUAAGUCCAACCCACACUAAAUGGGAGAGAAAUUAGGCUCUACCUCUUAUGGAAAUUUUUUGAUAUGUUUUAAAACUAUCCCAUUUGGGUAUUUAGAUAAAUAUCUACCUCCCUUACUAGACUAAGGGUUCCUUGAGAACCCAAUAGAACCCUUGUUUCUAGUGUUCACUUUUGUGUCCCUGGUAUCUUCCAGGAUGCCUGGCAGAGCGUGGACAUUCAAUAAAUAUUGACUAUAUGAAUUAAUGAGUGAAUGAAACUUUGCACUUGAAUCCCAGCUCUGAGAACUUUCUACAAAUUAUACAACAUUGGAGAAAAGGGACAAUCACAGCUGUCUCUCAGGUGUUUAAAAUAAUACAGCCUAUACAAAGCACCUAGUAUAGUCUGGCACUGAAGGAGGUCAUUAAAUGUUCUUUCUCUUCCUCUUCCUUGCCUCAAUCACACAUGCAAUCCAUCUGAAGCCCUGUGGAGUCUACCUCCCAUUAUGUCUUUCCCAUCCCUCUUAGUCUGUUACUCUCUUUCAAAUGCUGCUGCUCUUAGACUUGCCUUGCACAUGCUUUUCUAUUAGCCUUGUAUCAGUUCCCUGUGCCUCUAUUCUCUAGGGCAAUCUAGUGCAAUCCAUCCCUAAAUGUGCUAGGACCACAUUAUCUUUGUCAUUUUUGCAUCUUCUAUUGCUGUUGCUCGGCCCUGCACCAGCUAAGUGUAUA